UACGUAGGGUGCAAGCGUUAAUCGGAAUUACUGGGCGUAAAGCGUGCGCAGGCGGUGAUGUAAGACAGUUGUGAAAUCCCCGGGCUCAACCUGGGAACUGCAUCUGUGACUGCAUCGCUGGAGUGCGGCAGAGGGGGAUGGAAUUCCGCGUGUAGCAGUGAAAUGCGUAGAUAUGCGGAGGAACACCGAUGGCGAAGGCAAUCCCCUGGGCCUGCACUGACGCUCAUGCACGAA
rnacentral:rRNA from 1 species